rnacentral:rRNA from 1 species
ACGGAGGUUGCAAGCGUUGUUCGGAAUAACUGGGCGUAAAGGGAGCGCAGGCGGCUUGGUAAGUCUAAAGUGAAAUUCCAGGGCUCAACCCUGGACGUGCUUUGGAUACUGCCUGGCUUGAGUACGUGAGAGGAGAUUGGAAUUCCAGGUGUAGCGGUGAAAUGCGUAGAUAUUGGGAGGAACACCAGUGGCGAAGGCGGCUCACUGGACUGGUACUGACGCUGAGGCGCGAAAGCGUGGGGAGCAAACGGGA